rnacentral:tmRNA from 1 species
GGGGGUGAACAGGUAUCGACGAAAAUUGUUGAUGUAAUGACAUCAGGUCGAAGUUCGUCGAAGGCUUCGUAAAAAUUCGACUAAAAUUAAAUGACAAUUUUACUUUUUUAGCAAGUUGUUUUAAAAUUUUCGUUUUUUCAAUGUUCUCACAAAUUUUUUUCAAAAUGAGAAAAAAAAUCGAAAAUUUUGAAUUAAUGCAAGCAGCUAUUGUUUAAAAUAACAGUUUUAUAUUUGUAUUUUGAUUGUAAAAAUAGAUUUCUGUUAUUGUUUCAUAUUAGUUUAGAAUUUGGUGUUGAAAGAUAUGUAAAAAAUUAUUUAGUUAGUCUGAAACUACAUAAUUGUUAUAAUUUGAAUUUCAGAAUAAACCUGUAACUAUGUCUUACUGAAAUGUUUUCGGACGCGGGUUCGACUCCCGCCACCUCCAUUA